rnacentral:rRNA from 1 species
GUAGGUGGCAAGCGUUGUCCGGAAUUAUUGGGCGUAAAGCGCGCGCAGGCGGGUUCUUUAAGUCUGAUGUGAAAGCCCACGGGCUCAACCGUGGAGGGUCAUUGGAAACUGGAGAACUUGAGUACAGAAGAGGAAAGCGGAAUUCCACGUGUAGCGGUGAAACGCGUAGAGAUGUGGAGGAACACCAGUGGCGAAGGCGGCUUUCUGGUCUGUAACUGACGCUGAGGCGCGAAAGCGUGGGGAGCAAACAGGAUUAGAUACCCUGGUAGUCCACGCCGUAAACGAUGAGUGCUAAGUGUUAGGGGGUUUCCGCCCCUUAGUGCUGCAGCUAACGCAUUAAGCACUCCGCCUGGGGAGUACGGCCGCAAAGGCUG